UGGAGGAGUCUGUUCUUUGGUUGCUAAGCGGUCAAGUUUAGCUUUGGGGUGGUCUUGUUUAGGAAACGAUGUUAAAAAAUGAUGCAGCAGAUGGGGCCUUCUAUGCUUAUUCAUUGCUAUGCCUUUUUCAUCUGAAUUGGCUUCUGAAUCUGAGGUGGAGAGCUGUGUCUUUCUUGCAUCUCUUACAGAAUAGCGAUGGGUAAUUUUACGCUGUCGUCUGCUUUUUCGAAAAACAUUUACUUUUGCAGAAACCUGACUAGACAGGGCACUUCCUUCUAAAUGUAAUUUUUCCUGAGUGGAUCUUUGUGAACUUGAGUUCUUUUCUUUGGUCAGGAUUAUAUCUGCUGAGAGCGGUAGGUUAAAAUCUGUUGCCUUUUCUUCUUGGACAGGUAUCUUCCAUACCAGUGGAAGGAGAGACAGAAGAAGAGUCAGGAGUUCUUCUCUACAUGUCAAUGCCUGAUCAAUUAUAGAAUUUAGCUUGGUAAGUAAUAGAAAUCCUCGACCAUGGACAAGGUACUGUCCAAGGGUUGCCAUGUGCGUCUCCUCCUCUUCUUCCUCCCUGGCCUCCACCCUCUGGACCACUGCAUUGCAAAGCCGGUUGACAUCGGUCAGAAAUUCACGUGCCAGUGAGUUACUGUCGGUGCUCAUGACCGAGCAGUCUUUCACCACUGCUGUGACAUUUACAGUCUAUAUCAUUUGGACUCAUAAACUAGAUGAAACAAAUAUUCUUAGAACAAAGCU
rnacentral:lncRNA from 1 species